rnacentral:rRNA from 1 species
AAUGAACGUUGGCGGCAUGGAUUAGGCAUGCAAGUCGAGCGAGAAGAGUUUUGAAGCUUGCUUUAGAACUCGGACAGCGGCGAAAGGGAGAGUAACGCGUAGUUAUGUGCCCUAGGGUCCGGAAUAGCCACGGGAAACUGUGGGUAAUGCCGGAUAAUAUCCCCGGAUCAAAGGUGUGAUUCCGCCCUAGGAGCAGACUGCGUCCUACUAGCUAGUUGGUGGGGUAAUGGCCCACCAAGGCAACGAUGGGUAGCGGGUGUGAGAGCAUGACCCGUCUCACUGGGACUGAGACACUGCCCAGACACCUACGGGUGGCUGCAGUCGAGAAUCUUCGGCAAUGGGCGAAAGCCUGACCGAGCGAUGCCGCGUGCGGGAUGAAGGCCCUCGGGUUGUAAACCGCUGUCGUAGGGGAGGAAGGUUCCGUGAAGAGCGGAAUUUGACCUAUCCUAGGAGGAAGUACGGGCUAAGUUCGUGCCAGCAGCAGCCGCCGUAA